rnacentral:rRNA from 1 species
UACGAAGGGUGCAAACGUUGCUCGGAAUCAUUGGGCGUAAAGCGCACGUAGGCGGCCUGAUAAGUCGGAUGUGAAAUCCCACAGCUUAACUGUGGACGUGCAUUCGAAACUGCCAGGCUCGAGUAUGGAAGAGGGUCGCAGAAUUCCCGGUGUAGAGGUGAAAUUCGUAGAUAUCGGGAGGAAUACCAGUGGCGAAGGCGGCGACCUGGGCCAAUACUGACGCUGAGGUGCGAAAGCGUGGGGAGCGAACAGG